rnacentral:lncRNA from 10 species
AAAAGCAGGAGGGGCCAGAGGGUUGGGUCUCCGCUGGGAAAACAUCCCUGGCCUACUCAUCAGAGCCUCUGGAAGUGGAUUGGUAUCCCCUCUGCUCCCAGGAAUCCAGUAAAAGACAGGGUCUCACCUCGUUACCCAGGCUGGAGUGCAGUGGUGUGAUCAUAUCUCACUGUACAUCUCCAACUCCUGGGCUCAAGAAAUUCUCCUGCCAUAGCCUCCUGAGUAGGUAGGACUACAGGCAUGUGCCACCACACCCAGUAGCAUCUCUUCCUCAAAGAUGAGCCAGCCGUCAUUUGAAGAGGAGGAAAGACUGGAUUGGGGAAGAAUCUGGGGCAAAAUGAAGCCAAAUUGAGAACGAGGAGAAAAGAAGAUGCUAAGGCCGCAGAUAAGGAGGUCUUGAGUGUUACAGCUCUUUUUGAAUUUGUCUAGCAUGCUUUCUGCUUUUUACUGGAAAGUGCCCCCCCCCAAAAAAAUAAAAACGAAUAAAUAAAAAAGA